CCAUAUCUACCAUGUCUCUACGCUGUCAAAGAAAAUCUUCACCUCGCCGCAAAGGAAAGACAUCCACUUCUUGCCACCGGGCAUACUCUUCGAUAGACGAGAAUAGUGAUUGAAGCCUUCAAAUAAAAGAGAUCAGGGAAGAAACCCUUCAUCUCUUAUGGGGAUUUCACCUCAUUUUUUUCAUGGGUUUUGUUAAUAAUUUC
rnacentral:lncRNA from 1 species